ensembl:lncRNA
UGUAGGUCGCGGAUGCUACUUGGAUCCCCUGUUGCUGUGGCUGUGGUGUAGUCUGGCAGCUACAGCUCCGAUUAGACCCCUCGCCUAGGAACCUCCAUAUGCAGCAAGUGUGGCCCUAAAAAGAAAAAAAAAAAAAAAAAAAAAAGGAACCAUGCCGCACGAUGUGAACUGUGGCACAUGGGCCACAGCUAAUUGGACCAGGGGUGAGCACCUGAUCCAAGAGCUGCCUCCCUAUUGGUUGGGCCAACUAUCCUAUGAGAUAGCUUAGCUCAAGAGCUUGUGCUGUAUGAACCAAUCAAAUUCCUCUGCUUAGGGAGUUUGGCUGGAAUGGAGCGGGAGCUGGGAGUCUGUCAGAGAAGCAGAAUGACACAGAAAGAAAACCAAGGACAGAGAGAGAAAUUGGUCCUUCAGUGGUGGCAGAGCGGAGUCGGACCCAUGAGCACCUACUGGGGUGACUACUUGAUCAAUAUCCGCCCCAGGGUUUGGGAGCCUCUGUCUACAGCCCCUCACCUGGUGAGCACAGCUCAGGUAAACCUCAGCCUGUCCUGCUCUCUGCUUCCCACCUGCCUGCUCCUGACACUUGCUGCAGCCCCCACUGCACCUCGGCAGUGUGUGUAUACAAGUAUUGCUGCUCUGCUGAGAGGGUGGAGGCCGUGCCGUUUGAGUUUGCAUUCUCAGCCCUGUGCGCAUGACUCUGGGAUACUAUGCUGUUAGAAGAGAUGCUGUUGAAUAAUAACAGGUCAGUGUAUGACUUUGGGGAGACGUGGUCAACUUGAACUUCAGCUGGUACUCAUAGAAUCACACAACUUGGCAGUCAGAGCUAAAGCCCAGCCUUGGAGAUAUAAUCCAAACACUUCUUUUAUCUAUUCCGCCUUUGGGUAUUGAGUGCCUUCCUGGAGGGUGGGGGGGGCACCACUGUACUGGGCACCGAGAUUCCAAGAUGAAUGAAAUACCACUCGGAGCCCCCAAGGAACUCAGAGGUCGGGGACACACCAAAGUGAGAGCAUCAUUGGCACUUUAUGAGUAGUGAUAUGGCCCCAGUAUGGAUACAUGUGUGCUUUUAUUUUUUACCCGGGGGGGGNNNNNNNNNNNNNNNNNNNNNNNNNNNNNNNNNNNNGGGGGGGGGGGUGCCAUGGCUGGAGGCUCUGUCCCACCCCUAGAUGCAGAUGCUGUUACUAGAGAUUAAAGUUAUUUAGGAUGAGGAUCAAGAGAAGUUUAUCAAACCUGCAUUUAAGGAUGAGAUUAGCAAUUUCCCCAAAUUGCCCAGAGGGCUAAGUAUCAUGACCCCUAACUUUGACUGACAGGGGCCCUGGGAAAAACCAUUGUAAACCUUGUGUCCUAGAUUCCUAUGUAAUAUCUACCAAUUGGCAUUCAUGUUUGCAUUCACCAUCUAUAUCUGUAGCUCUAUCUAUUUCUGUACCGAUGAUGUGAUGUGCUGUUCCUUGUGGUCUGAGGAAGUAGAUGAAUAAGAGAGAUCCCAUGUUAAGAAGUUGAAAGCAUGUGUCGAGGUCAUUAAAGACCGAGAAACUGCCAUAAAUUUGAGAAGAAAUGAGCUUGAAAACUAGAUGAAAUGUAGGAUCCAGGAUUGGGCCAGAAAAAGCACGUAAGUAAAAAAGGUCACCAAAUUCGAUUGAGGUCUUAAUUAGUAACUACUAAUGAAUUUAUGUUAAUUUUAAAAUUUUGGUCAUUGUGCCAUGUUUUCUUUAGAUACUGACUUUAAAGAGUGUAAAGAGUAUACAGAACUCUCUUGCAACUUUAAGUCUAAAAUUAUUUCAAAAUAAAUUGUUAAUAAAUAUAGUUGUCUAAAGCAAAAAAAAAAAAAGUCUGGGGAGCUAAUGUAUGCAUACAUACACCCAAAAUGUAAUAAAUCUCAGAAGGAGUAUGGACUAGCAUCUACAAAAUGCUUUCAGUUUUGACUACAAUCUUAGGUAUUCUGGGCCAGUGAACCAACUAGUAGGAGCAUUCUGUUAAAGGGACCCAGGGCACAGGCCAGGUACCUGGGGCAGGUCGGUUCACUGACCACAGGUGCUUUGGAAGCCUGGCGGACUUCAUUCCUGAAAGCUCCAUCUGCAUAAAGUGGGGGGAGGGGGCGCUGCUGGAUGCUGGUGAGUGUCAGUGCAAUUCUAAUUUUGCUGAGUCUUUAGCUACAAAGACCCUUUUCUAUGCCUGGAUGUCAAUUCUCAUUUUAGUUUUGCAUGAUUUUGCAAUGGGACCAAAGUUAACACGCAAAGGGAGAUUUUUGGAGCAACUGACUGCGUCCAAAACACUGUUUAAGUCGGAGAGCACACAAUACACACUUUUAAAUUAAUUUUUAAGUGUAUUGUUUGGUUUCAGAAACAAGGCUUUUGUUGGCAUGGAUAUCAGGAGACCAGUUCUAAAAAACAUCAAAGAUAGUCACACACACCACAGUAUUUAUAGGGAACACCCUCUGUCUUUCCCAUAUGCGGUGUGGAAAACCGGGCCAGAACGAUCCUGCAGAAACUUCCUGAUGAAAACAGGCAGGUCAGUCUUUCCCAAGCCUGAGCCUGCUGCCGAGGAACCCCAGCCAGGACUCCAGCUCUUCCUUUGCUGCUCCCAAAAUGCUGUGCCUCUCGGACAGCGCCUGCGUGUAGCCCACUUCAGGGGCUUAAGGAGUCCACGGUUCCUGGCUCUGACUGGGUCCUAGGGACACCUCUCCUUCCCUCCCAGACCCAUCUUGUAGAAAGACGCCAAAGCCAAAAGAUCGAUCCAGGAGUCACCUGAGCCAAAUCCGAGCCGUCCACCCCCUCCCCAGUUAAUCACCCUGCCCCCUCCGGGUCAGCUUCCCCUCCCCUCUCCCAAGCCCAUCCCGGCGCCAUCGGUGCGCCUCCUCCGUCGGGGGUUCCAGGAUGUGCAUCCUUCAAGCAGCUUUGAAAAAAAAAACCGGAGGGGAACUUCUUUGUUCUUUCAUCAGGUUUACUCGGUUUACGGAAUUCAGUUCCCAGGUCUGCAAAUUUCUCCUUCUAAUACAUGGAGGGCGUGCCGCUUCAUUCCUGGAGACUUUCUAGUCCCUGGCCCUGUGCUUAAGCGCUCGAGCCGCAUUUUCUCUUAGUUGGGUCGCAUAACGACUCUCUGAGGUAGGUGUGGUUAUCCCUAUUUUACAGAUGGAAAGAGCUGAGGUAGACCGAGUAAAUCUGUCCAGGGUUUUAUAACUAAUGGAUAAGCACAGUUAGGUUUUGAGCUCAAGUUGCCCGAAGCCCUAAAUCUUUAUUGUUCUUCACAUAGCAAUAAUAACAGUAGCUACCACGUACUGAGCAAUUACUCUUAUGCCAGGCACUGCGCAAAAUAUUUCUCCAAACUACUUUCAGAAGCAGGUCUGACCGUUACAGUUACGUGAUCAUGAGCAAGUUUAACCUCUUUUUCAGUCAAUUCCGUGUCUGCAAGAUGAAGCCGAAAACAUGGCUGUGGCGAAGAGUGAAUGAAUUGAUAUAUGCCAAGCACUAAGAACACAAACUGGCACAUAAUAAUCCCUCAAAAAUUUAUCUUGUUUUGUUUUUGUUCUUUGUAAACCAUUGCUUCCAUUCACAGGUGAGGUCGGCUUGGAGAGGUUAAGCAACUAAUUAAUCCAAAUUGCUCAGAAAUCUUGCGGGUUGCGGGCCCGCCCACAGGUGAGUUGCAUCUGGCACGUGGGAGAUGUGCUUCUCCCGCUUUGCAGCAAAUGAGCUGCAGCCCGGAGGCCUCGCAUGCUCCUUAGCGAACACAGCCCUGGAAGUUUCCUAGCUCGGGACCCGGGCGUCCAAGGACCCCGGCAGUGUGGCGGUUCCUACCGGACUCUCUCCGAAGCACCGCAGGCGACACUCGCACACCCAGGGGUGGCCCGG